AGUGAACGCUGGCGGUAGGCCUAACACAUGCAAGUCGAACGGCAGCACAGUAAGAGCUUGCUCUUACGGGUGGCGAGUGGCGGACGGGUGAGGAAUACAUCGGAAUCUACUUUUUCGUGGGGGAUAACGUAGGGAAACUUACGCUAAUACCGCAUAUGACCUACGGGUGAAAGCAGGGGAUCUUCGGACCUUGCGCGAUUGAAUGAGCCGAUGUCGGAUUAGCUAGUUGGCGAGGUAAAGGCCCACCAAGGCGACGAUCCGUAGCUGGUCUGAGAGGAUGAUCAGCCACACUGGAACUGAGACACGGUCCAGACUCCUACGGGAGGCAGCAGUGGGGAAUAUUGGGCAAUGGGCGCAAGCCUGAUCCAGCCAUGCCGCGUGAGUGAAGAAGGCCUUCGGGUUGUAAAGCCCUUUUGUUAGGAAAGAAAAGCAGCAGGUUAAUACCCCGCUGUUCUGACGGUACCCAAAGAAUAAGCACCGGCUAACUUCGUG
rnacentral:rRNA from 1 species